rnacentral:rRNA from 1 species
GACGAACGCUGGCGGCGUGCUUAACACAUGCAAGUCGAACGGAAAGGCCCUGCUUUUGUGGGGUGCUCGAGUGGCGAACGGGUGAGUAACACGUGAGUAACCUGCCCUUGACUUUGGGAUAACUUCAGGAAACUGGGGCUAAUACCGGAUAGGAGCUCCUGCUGCAUGGUGGGGGUUGGAAAGUUUCGGCGGUUGGGGAUGGACUCGCGGCUUAUCAGCUUGUUGGUGGGGUAGUGGCUUACCAAGGCUUUGACGGGUAGCCGGCCUGAGAGGGUGACCGGCCACAUUGGGACUGAGAUACGGCCCAGACUCCUACGGGAGGCAGCAGUGGGGAAUAUUGCACAAUGGGCGGGAGCCUGAUGCAGCAACGCCGCGUGCGGGAUGACGGCCUUCGGGUUGUAAACCGCUUUCGCCUGUGACGAAGCGUGAGUGACGGUAAUGGGUAAAGAAGCACCGGCUAACUACGUGCCAGCAGCCGCGGUGAUACGUAGGGUGCGAGCGUUGUCCGGAUUUAUUGGGCGUAAAGGGCUCGUAGGUGGUUGAUCGCGUCGGAAGUGUAAUCUUGGGGCUUAACCCUGAGCGUGCUUUCGAUACGGGUUGACUUGAGGAAGGUAGGGGAGAAUGGAAUUCCUGGUGGAGCGGUGGAAUGCGCGGAUAUCAGGAGGAACACCAGUGGCGAAGGCGGUUCUCUGGGCCUUUCCUGACGCUGAGGAGCGAAAGCGUGGGGAGCGAACAGGCUUAGAUACCCUGGUAGUCCACGCUGUAAACGGUGGGUACUAGGUGUGGGGUCCAUUCCACGGGUUCCGUGCCGUAGCUAACGCUUUAAGUACCCCGCCUGGGGAGUACGGCCGCAAGGCUAAAACUCAAAGGAAUUGACGGGGCCCCGCACAAGCGGCGGAGCAUGCGGAUUAAUUCGAUGCAACGCGUAGAACCUUACCUGGGUUUGACAUGGAUCGGGAGUGCUCAGAGAUGGGUGUGCCUCUUUUGGGGUCGGUUCACAGGUGGUGCAUGCCUGUCGUCAGCUCGUGUCGUGAGAUGUUGGGUUAAGUCCCGCAACGAGCGCAACCCUUGUUCACUGUUGCCAGCACGUUAUGGUGGGGACUCAGUGGAGACCGCCGGGGUCAACUCGGAGGAAGGUGGGGAUGACGUCAAGUCAUCAUGCCCCUUAUGUCCAGGGCUUCACGCAUGCUACAAUGGCUGGUACAGAGAGUGGCGAGCCUGUGAGGGUGAGCGAAUCUCGGAAAGCCGGUCUCAGUUCGGAUUGGGGUCUGCAACUCGACCUCAUGAAGUCGGAGUCGCUAGUAAUCGCAGAUCAGCAACGCUGCGGUGAAUACGUUCCCGGG